GGGGUUGUAGCUCAGUGGUAGAGUGCUUGCCUGGCAUGUGAGAGGCACUGGGUUCAAUUCUCAGAACUGCA
rnacentral:tRNA from 1 species